AUAGCAUGGUUAUAACAUGGUUGGUUAUAACAUGGUUACAACACGGUUGUUUGUAACACGGUUGGUUAUAAUAUGGUUGGUUAUAACAUGGUUGGUUAUAACACAGUUGGUUAUAACAUGGUUAUAACAUUGUUGGUUAUAAAAUGGUUGGUUAUAGCAUGGUUAUAACAUGGUUGGUUAUAAUAUGGUUGAUUAUAACAUGGUUAUAACAAGACAACAUGCAUGAGGAGGAUGAUGUGGACAAAAUACUCAUUUGCCUAAUAAUUCUACACUCCCUGUAUAUCUACGGAAGGAAAGUGAUGUUACAGAUUACUUCAGUACUCAACAAACAAGACUUGUUUGCCAGUUGGAACUGCCAACUUCAAACAGAAAUCUUGCAGAAUAACAUCUUCAACAUUCACACACACACACACACAUACACACACACUUACUGUAACACUGCUUUGAGUGGAUAAAGACUGGUGAUGUAAUGCUGUAACUCAGGUUUUGCAGUGCAGGCUACACUAUUGCAGCUUGUGUCUAAUCUUUUGUAUUUUAAUAAUAAGGUGCAUCUGUGGUGAAGGCGCAUGCUAAGAUAGAAAACUAUAUCCGAGGGAGGUGGUCUCUAGGGCAAAUCUGUCACACUCUACAGGACUUCUACAGCCACAGUAACUGGGUGGAGCUGGGAAAUAAAGCUCCAUACAGUGCUCUGAUCAGACCUGACCAACCUCUUAAGAACUUGGCAGGACAAAAUACUCCAACUUGCAGAAGUUGCAUAGGAGAGAACUGUACUAACAACAUUCUGCCUGAUGUGCUGAACCAGGGACUUCUGACUUCAGGCUACUUUAACCUAAUCUCCUCAUCAAAACCUACAGGUAAAUGCAGUCACGGUGGAUCUGCUGAU